GUUUUAAUAAUUUAACACAAAAUACUGAUCUUGUAAAUCAGCAAUAAGGCCCCCUUUUAAGACU
rnacentral:tRNA from 1 species